GCCCUCUCCCUGCGCAAACGUGGCUCCCGCUGGCCACACCCACAUCCACACCCACACCGGCAGAGGAAGGUCUAGGGGGUCGGACGAGGAGGAGAUGGGAGUUUGGGGGAAAGAUGAGAGCUUGGGAUUUAAGCUCGGAUUGUGGCACGCGCGCGCUUCGUUAGAGGAGCUCCAGAGGCGGCUUCCUAGCAGGCUAUUGGUCCCUAUAUUCGUUAGCCACCUAAGACAGCAAGGCUCACCUAACCAACUUCCUUUUCAGAAGAAGAGUUAUCGUACCCAAGGGAAACGUCGCGGCCCGUGUUACUACGAUCGUUGCUCGCCUCGUACCCUCCAGAAGCGUCUCAAUGGGCACUUUCUAGUCAAUCUCACGUCAAACCGUUGCUCGUCUCGUACCCUCCAAAAGGGUCUAAAUGGGCACUUUCUAGCCAAUCUCACGUCGGACCACACCUGACGAUAAGAGGCCUAUCUCGUUGUUUCCUGUGGUCAGAUGUUGAACUCGGUGCACAAGUCGGGCCUCCCCGGAAAAAGAAUCUUGUGUUUUCAAGACACCUAGCUCCAAUUGGUCCCCCGAAAGAGCGCUGAAUAUUCGUUGGCGACCAAAAAAGGGGAGGACACACAACAAGGUAAGAUAUCCCUAAAACGUCAAACAAAAUGCGACUAGUCACUAUAAUGCUGAAAUUCUCCACCAAACCAACAUAUAUAAGUCAAAAGGGAGCAAAUUCCAAGAAAAGAAGGCUUGAACCUCUAACAACAAAAUAAGGGUAACUCAAAUGUAAAAUGUCCAAAGGUCAAAACAAUAGAGAGAGAGAAACGCUGCUGGUCAAACAAAAGAGGACUACUCGUUACGUCACCACAAGGGGGAGAAAAUUCACACAAAGAUGGCUCAAAGUCUAGAUAACACCCACAACCAUUAAAAAUAAACAACUCCCCUAGGACAUCAACACGACUAAGAUGAGAGACGGGGACUUAGGAAACCUAUAAACCAGAGAAAAAGGUAAAAAGGAGAAUAUUUUGAUGAUAAAAAGAAGGUUCAAUUAGAACAGUCGACUCCCACCUAUAAAAUUUAAAAAAAAAAUUUGUUCUAUGUAUAUUGACACUUGUUGGUAUCGGUCAUUUCACUAUUUCUCUUUACCCAUUUACCCACAUCAAAACUUAGAGAUACAUUUCUCGAAUAAUAGUUCAAACCGCCUUUAACUCAAGAUCUCUCUAAGAAUUUGAAUGUCUAAAAUCAAACCACGCCAUGAACAGAAGUACAACAUCUUUACGAUUGUUGCCAAGAACAUAAUAGUUUGACUCCGGCGAGUUCAUGACGUUUUUUUUUCCAUUAAAAACUUCGUUCAGGUUCAUGACAUUAUGACAAGGGCGACUACGUAACAACGUUGAGAAACGACCGUACCGUACCGAGGACGGACUAUUUAGGAAUAGUAGAGUCUAAAUACACUUGGACAUGCGGUCUUUUCAUUUAUCGUCUACUUGUUUUUUCGGGUGAACCGAAUUAUUAAACAGUUUUGUAACAAAGAGAAAUC
rnacentral:rRNA from 1 species